ACGCUCGACACCUACAGGAGGCAGCAGUGGGGAAUAUUGCACAAUGGGGGAAACCCUGAUGCAGCGACGCCGCGUGGAGGAAGAAGGUCUUCGGAUUGUAAACUCCUGUUGUUGGGGAAAAAGAGGAUGGUACCCAACAAGGAAGUGACGGCUAACUACGUGCCAGCAGCAGCGGUAAUCUGAGCGGGCUGGCAAGGC
rnacentral:rRNA from 1 species